GACGAACGCUGGCGGCGUGCUUAACACAUGCAAGUCGAUCGAAGUGGUGAACGGGUGAGUAAUACGUGGGUAACCUGCCCUCCUUUUUGGGAUAAGCCUUGGAAACGGGGACUAAUACCGAAUAAAGGGGGAUGGGCUAGCGGCCUAUCAGCUUGUUGGUGGGGUGAUGGCCUACCAAGGCGGUGACGGAUAGCCGGCCUGAGAGGGUGACCGGCGACAUGUGGACUGUGAUACGGCCCAGACUACUACGGUGGGCAGAAGUGGGGGAUAUUGCACAAUGGGCGAAAGCCUGAUGCAGCGCCGACGCGUGGGGGAUGAGGGCUUUCGGGUUGUAAACCUCUUUCGCUAUCGGUCGGGUAGGUGGAGAAGAAGCGCCGGCUAACUACGUGCCAGCAGCCGCGGUAAUAC
rnacentral:rRNA from 1 species